rnacentral:rRNA from 1 species
GAUGAACGCUGGCGGCGUGCUUAACACAUGCAAGUCGAACGGAAAGGCUCCUGCUUGCAGGGGUACUCGAGUGGCGAACGGGUGAGUAACACGUGGGUGAUCUGCCCUGCACUUCGGGAUAAGCCUGGGAAACUGGGUCUAAUACCGGAUAGGACGAUGGUUUGGAUGCCAUUGUGGAAAGUUUUUCGGUGUGGGAUGAGCUCGCGGCCUAUCAGCUUGUUGGUGGGGUAAUGGCCUACCAAGGCGUCGACGGGUAGCCGGCCUGAGAGGGUGUACGGCCACAUUGGGACUGAGAUACGGCCCAGACUCCUACGGGAGGCAGCAGUGGGGAAUAGUGCACAAUGGGCGCAAGCCUGAUGCAGCGACGCCGCGUGGGGGAUGACGGCCUUCGUGUUGUAAACUCCUUUCGCUAGGGACGAAGCGCAAGUGACGGUACCUGGAGAAGAAGCACCGGCUAACUACGUG